GCCCAUGUAGCUCAGCUGGAUAGAGCGACCGCCUCCUAAGCGGUAGGCCAGAGGUUCGAAUCCUCCCAUGGGUGCCA
rnacentral:tRNA from 1 species